UCUCUCUCUCUCCGACGCAAUCGUCUUUCUCCCUCAGCGGUGGCUAUUCAUCCAAGCUUAACUCCACGAUUCACAUCCACGAGAUGUUCACAUAUUAACUGGUGAAAAUAAUUGAACAGAGAAAAUCCAAUGAUGCAGAAGUCGAGUCACUGCGAGAGGAAUACCAUCAAAGGGUUGCAACACUUGAAAGGAAGGUGUAUGCUCUUACAAAGGAAAGGGACACGCUUCGGCGGGAGCAGAAUAAGAAAAGUGAUGCAGCUGCUCUUCUGAAGGAAAAGGAUGAAAUAAUUAAUCAAG